GCCGCUAGAUGCAACUACAUAGGAAACUCAUAGAGAUUUCUUAGAACAAGUGCUUUGACGUUUGAAAAUUCGGGACAAUUUGGCAGCUUUUGACAAUAUACUCAUUGUAUGGCCUUCAACCAUCACACCGGGCUGAAUGGCACAGGCUUGAGAUUUUGUGGUGCACCUGUGACCACUACCUCUGCCUUCUGUGACAUGAAUAGUCUUCUUUUUCAUGGCCGAAGCCACUGUACACUUGGCACAUAUAUUAAAUGAGUUGCAAAAAGGUGCUGUAAUUACUUGCGGUGUUGUCAAGUAAUUGAGGCUUCGUACAGUACUUAGGGUAGGAAGGUAACCAACAGCUACAUUAAAAAGCAAGAAAUGCAGGGCAUAAAAUUUUUGUGUCUGAACUCCUUUAAACUGUCAGAACUCUUUUAACCUUUAUCGGUUCAGAUGUACAACUGCACCAGUUUGUUUUCUUGCACGAUAGCUGACGCUAACAGCUGUUGGUAAAAUACAGGAUGAACAGCGCUGCAAAGGAAACAAUUUGCCAUCGGUGUGUUUCUUAUCUUGAUUAUGAUCUUUGUUCACACCACUGUUUGUAAUGUGCUUCCAAAUGCAUGUAACAAUUGUUCCAACCAGCGAGGUUCUCACAUAAUAUAGCAGGAACAGUUUGCUUUUCCGUCGAAAUGAACUGGCACAUUUUUGGGGCAAGGCACAGGAUUAUUAUCUCUGCUUUUGAUCUGGGGGUUCUUCACUGAAGUGUAUCUGUAACGGUCUUGCAUAUAAUCAUAUGUAUGUUUGUUGCAUACACAAACAAACAUCUUACGUAUGAGUGUGUAUGCUCACAAGGUGAGUGAGAUGUCCUACAGAAGGAAUUCCUUUUAUGAAUAGAUAUUAGUUAUAGAGCAGAAACAGCUUGUUGUUAUGCCAAUCUCAGUGGUUGCUACAUCGUAAAACAUGUGGUGCUUUAAAAUGAGUGAGCAGAAGCAUCCAUCAGAAUUGCUGUAAAAGCAGUGCAUUGUAAAUGCUCACACCAGUACACCAGUCUCAGUGGUGCCACCAAUACUGCAGUAAGCCAUCAGAAAAGUACUUUUGUAGGAGUGUGCGAAUAUUCAAGACCUUCAAAUAACAAGUCGAAUAUUUCCCUAUCCGACUGGGUUUUUAAAUCGAAUAGUCACUAUUCAUAAAUACAAAUAUUUGUAAAAUAGUUGUUGAAUACUUCAAAUUGCGAAGUGUGCGCAAUCAAGCACGAUUGAGGUAACAUUGCGAUAACUUUCAUUCCAGUGGCUACAGUAGACAUAAAUCACAAGAAGUUACAUAGUGGAGCACUUUGCAUUGCGCAGGAAGCCAGACUUUUUCAGCAAAACUGCUGCCACUUCCACUCACCAAUGAGUCCAGCGCGCAGCUGGGUCGUCCACAAGCUUGGAAACUUACUCCACCGAAGACGAAGCUUCAAGAAAGAAAAAAUGUCACUACUGCAACCUUUGCCCCUAUGUUGCGAAGAGUUCACCAUCUUUGAGACAACACAUGCUGACUCAUACUGGAGAGAGGCCCUUUGAGUGCACCGUCUGCUUGGCUAGGUUUGCGCAAGUGGGAACACUUUCAAAUCACAUGCGCAGGCACAGUGGAGAAAAACCGUUUCAGUGUGCCCUCUGCCCAUAUAGAUCAGCUACCAGGAGUUCCAUAUUGUACCACAUCAAAAACCACACUGGUGACAAGCCCUUUGCAUGUAACGAGUGCUCUUACGUCACCGCAAACAGAACGGAUCUGGUAAAACAUGUCCGCAUUCAUACAGGCGAAAAGCCAUACAAGUGUAAGGAGUGCUCAUAUGCUUGCGCCCAAAAAGCACACCUAUACCGGCACAUGUGGCGGCACACCAAACACCAGGCUCAAUUGCAGGGCCACACUUCCUCUUCUGGAGUAUGAUGGACAACAAUGGGAUCCAAGGAAUUCAAAGUUUCCUUCAGUCGUUAAAGGUGCCCCAGAACACUUUUUUGACUGAGUUGAAUAAAUAAACCUAUUUAUUUGCUGGACA